GGAUCAGUGGGUCGGUCGUGCCACUGGUAUGCACUGGCUUUGCUGAUUCCUCCUUCUUGUAGAACCGUAAUGCCAUUUAGUUGGUGUUGCGGGGAAACAGGACUGUUACUUUGAAAAAAUUAGAGUGUUUAAAGCAGGCUAACGCCUGAAUACAUUAGCAUGGAAUAAUGAAAUAGGACGUUCGAUCCUAUUUUGUUGGUUUCUAGGAUUGACGUA
rnacentral:rRNA from 1 species